GUCCCUUCUGGAAUCGCAGCUCUUGUCACCGACCGUCCCGGAGUGCCUGACCUGUUGCCUGCAAAGAAGAGAACCCACCACCACCACCGUCUCUUCAUGCGUCUGCAGUUGGCCACCUUUCCUACCCACCACCAGGCCAGUCUGCUUUCUCCGGUCCUGAUUAUUGCGUGGUCUCCUCCAUCAUCAUCUCCACCACAAAGAUGUGGUUCUCUGCUGCAAACUGAGAGCUGCUCGCAGGACAACCUGCAAAUACCCUUCACCGUGUCCCCAUAGUGUGUCCUUACCUGGUGGGGCCCUCUCCUCGGACCUGCGUUCCAACGAUGGCCUGUCUCUUCACCGUCUGCUGCUCAUCCCUAAACACCCACCGUGACCACCACCAAGCAGUGCCCUCCUGUAUGGGCCAAUGCAGAUCUCCUCAUCAUCGUCUGAUGUGUCCUUGCCGCUCAGAGCUCGUGCCAUUCGGCACCUCGAUGGGCUGGCAUUGCUAAAUAAAACCCACUCCCUUCCAUU